UCCCGCCCCUACAUCAGAACCGACUGUCUGACUCCGCAAUUGCAAACUAGUCGAAGUACAGUGAAAACCACCACGAGGGCACUGCGCAAAGAGACAUUGGCCAAUAAAAGCGGAUGUUUGAGGUUUUUAUUAACGUUGCCGUUUGAGGAAUUGAGGCAACAUCAGCCAUAUUGAUUGGUGGGCCGAAGACCACGCCAUGCAAACAUUUCCGCUUCUGGACCACAAGUUGAGGGCUUCUGCAUGUUUAUGAUCUAGUGGCCUCAGUCAUACUAGAUGGUGUUGUGUGGAUUCAUGCAGACUUUCAAUUUUCCAUCCAUGAGGUGCCAUUGCAACAGAAUGCUGAAGGAGUAAUUAUGGGUGAUGACUUGCAAAGGGGUACAACAAUAAAUGUUGAAAAUAAAGUUUAACACU